ensembl:lncRNA
CCAGACUCAUUACCCCCCCCCCCUUGCCAUCCCUCCCCACCCCACCACAUACACACAAACCGUUUUUACCAGUUGGACCCAACCCAUCUUCCCCCAUUUCAAGAUCUCACUGUUUCUACCACACAACAUUACAUGGACACUAUUUUUAAGGGAAAGGUUUUUUUCUGGGAAUGACAAGAGGGCCUCCAGUUUUCGGAUGUUUUUAUUUCUUUUCGCCCAAGCGCACACACACGGACAUGGCGAAGUGAUACGGAGGAACGGCUCAGCGUGGCUUUGGCUUUUACCGGAACUCCUUUUCUUAAUGCUCUUCUUUUCUACACAUUUAUCAAGGGUUUUAUACAUCCCCCUGAUCCUCCUCUUCUUAUGGAGGAGUUGAGAGGAACACUUGAUUUGAAAAAGAGAAGAUUGUCCAGGAUUUUCCAGAGGAAAGUUGAAAGUGGAUUAUUUGAUUGUUUAUCUACCAGCAGCUUCAGUCUCUGCUCCCCAUUUUAACGUAAUCAUCUGUUUCUAAUGUUUAAUAAAGCAUCAUGUGUGAACUCUGUGUUAUCUGCUGGACGAGGCUACUGCUCCAGCCACUACUACCAGAUCCUCCCAGUGCAGAACAACUGACACAGAUGUAUAGUUUGGCAAACAUAUUUUGAGAUUUGGAUUUGCUCACCAUAAUCCACACUCGAAGUGCAAAUGAGCAUGUAAUUGUUGUGAAAGGUUUGGUUGUAACAUGGUGGACAGUUUGCUGAACUCUGUGUAUCUAUGUCUCUGGUCCAGACCCCCUGACUGGCUGAGAAGCCCAGCACUGUGUGAUCCACUAUGGCCCUCAAAUUCAACAACUCAAACCCCCCACCCCCAUUCUUAUCCCUCUAAACAGGGACUGAUUUAGACCUGGGACAUCAGGUGUGUGCAAUUACUUAAAAGGUACAACAGAAAAGUAGGCUCUGGACCUCGUAGGGUAAGAGUUGAAUACCCCUGCACUAAGGGUCAUCAUCAUCUAGGUCAGUGCUUGAACUUCUGUUUUUCAUCCUCUCCUAAUCAGGGACUGAUUCAGACCUGGGACACCAGGUGAGUGCAAUUAAACACCAGGUAGAAACAAAAGACACAAAAGGGUUUUGGCCCGCCAGGACCAGAAUUGAACCGUUUCAUCUAAGGCUGUCAUCCAUAGGUGCGUUGAUCCCUGUGGUGUGUCUCUCUUAAAGGGAAUGACUAAGUCUUUAACAACCGCCUUAAGCUCUCCCUGACUCAAUGAGAGACUGGUAAGUGCCUUAACUUGGAGACACACACACACACUCAGUGUCCACAGGUUAAACGCAGAGAAUAUGAAGACACAUUUCUAUGAAACUUUAUAAUAGGUUUUGUGAAACACAUUCAAUGUAAACCUGCCCAGAUAGCCAGGACUGAUCUACUGUGGAUGCCGUCUUUUGGCUGUGGGGAGUUUAGUGGGAGUGCUACUGUAUGUGGUGCUUGAGGUGAAGGGAUGAAAUAGAUGCUGGGACUCAUUUUUGUUCCUGGAAAUGAUUCUAUUUAAGAGCUGGAACACCGCAAUUCUUUAAAGUGAUUAUAUAUGUAUAUAAAUAUGAGUGCUGCUACUCAACCAGUAGAACAUUUUAGUUGAUGGUACUCAGUACCAGUGUAUACCGACACUGACCGUAUGGGGGCUGCAGUGAUCUGUACUGCGCUGAGGGGCCUAUCAGUCUGGUACUAUCAUACAUCACUUCAAGACUAUCAAUAUUAAAUGGAGACCCUUUUCUUGGUCUUUUUGCCACUUGUAAUAUGUUUUCUAUUGACGAAAUAUCUACAGCAGAGCUCUCCAACCCUGUUCUUGAAGAGCUACAGUCCUGUAGGUUUUCACUCCAACCAUAAUUUAGCUCACCUGAUUCUAAUAGUUAGCAUGUUGAUAAGCUGAAUCAGGUUAGUUACAACUGGGGUUGGAUUGAAAACCUACAGGAAGGUAACUCUCCAGGAACAGGGUUGGCGAGCCCUGGUCUACAGUAUAGAGGGAAUUGAAGGAAUAUGUAAGGAAACAGAAUGAUACGGUUGUUGCUCCCUGCCUAUAGGUUGUGCCAAACGUAUUUUCAUGUUCACACACAGAGAUACAGACACUGCAACCGAGUGAUUCUCACUGUUUCACAGCUUCUGUACUUUUGACAAAGUUUCUCAUGUGAGUUGAAUUUUACAAUGACAACCAAUAAACCAAGUAUUGACCUAUG